UCAUGUUAAGGCUUGAAGGUCCAUAAACACGCAAUUCGGUCGUUUCCGAUUAUUCUGAUCUGCUUAAUGUCGCUGUUUUUGUCUGUCGGCCCUCCUUUUGGAUUAUUUAACUUACUUAAAAGAUUAGAGUUUUUGUACAAGUGAAUUUUACCAGUCAAGUGCUUUUCUUCAAAAGAACAAGAAAGCAGGCCGGGGAGUUCAAAAUAAACCGAUAGCCUGAUGUAGAGAAUGGAAACCGAGUCAUUUCGGUUCCGAAAGCCCGGAUUCCAAGGGCAAUGGCUUUAGACGAUUCUCCGUGACAUAAAGCUAACUAUCUAGGACAAACUAACUGGUGGGUAAAUGCACAUAUAGGUAAAAACCGGCACAAAUGAUUCCCGUUAGUGAUCCAAAGUCGAGCCACGUUGCAGACGUGAACCAGGUCCCGGAGCAAUAAUCACGUCGUUAGAGCCUUCUACAAAUCUACAUUCAUUCUCUCUCUCCCUCCGAUUCUUUAUUUUUCUAUUCGUAUCUGUUCUUCGGGUCGAAAAAGUACCGUAUUAGAAGCACCAUCAAUACAAUGGCUUUCUCUUCUGCAAAGCACUUGAUCCACUUUCACGGUCAUUUGGCCAAUUGGUGCCUUCAAGCACGGAUCCGUAGCCUUUACGAUUCCCUUCGGCGAAGGACAUGAGAUGGGGUUUUUUCUCGAUAAUAGCAUUGCCACCUCGCAAUCCAACGGAUUGAACCAGUCGCUUCCAUCUGGAAAAUCAAAUUGGCUAACGAUAGUUGAAGGGAAUUUUGUAGCAAACUUGAUCGUAUGCCAUUAUUGCACGUUUUAGUCCUCGUCUGCAUUAAACAUAAGAAGCAUUGUGUCUUAAAGCAUACAAUAUACUAUAAGAAAAAAUAUAUUAUAAAGACCCCCAGGUAUAAUACAAAACAAU